rnacentral:rRNA from 1 species
UACGGAAGGGGCAAGCGUUGUUCGGAAUUACUGGGCGUAAAGGGCUCGUAGGCGGCCAACUAAGUCAGACGUGAAAUCCCUCGGCUUAACCGGGGAACUGCGUCUGAUACUGGAUGGCUUGAGUUUGGGAGAGGGAUGCGGAAUUCCAGGUGUAGCGGUGAAAUGCGUAGAUAUCUGGAGGAACACCGGUGGCGAAGGCGGCAUCCUGGACCAACACUGACGCUGAUGAGCGAAAGCCAGGGGAGCAAACGGG